rnacentral:rRNA from 1 species
GUGCCAGCAGCCGCGGUAAUACAGAGGGUGCAAGCGUUAAUCGGAUUUACUGGGCGUAAAGCGCGCGUAGGUGGCCAAUUAAGUCAAAUGUGAAAUCCCCGAGCUUAACUUGGGAAUUGCAUUCGAUACUGGUUGGCUAGAGUAUGGGAGAGGAUGGUAGAAUUCCAGGUGUAGCGGUGAAAUGCGUAGAGAUCUGGAGGAAUACCGAUGGCGAAGGCAGCCAUCUGGCCUAAUACUGACACUGAGGUGCGAAAGCAUGGGGAGCAAACAGGAUUAGAUACCCUGGUAGUCCAUGCCGUAAACGAUGUCUACUAGCCGUUGGGGCCUUUGAGGCUUUAGUGGCGCAGCUAACGCGAUAAGUAGACCGCCUGGGGAGUACGGUCGCAAGACUAAAACUCAAAUGAAUUGACGGGGGCCCGCACAAGCGGUGGAGCAUGUGGUUUAAUUCGAUGCAACGCGCAGAACCUUACC